UUCUCAGGGAGCCCCGACUCCCACACGCUGCUCCGUAGGCCCUGGGUGCACACGCCAAGCACUGCGUGUGUCGGUUCCGUUCAGCAGGCAGAGUACAGAACGCAGCGCUAGAGUCUCCAGAUGAAACUUAGGCCAAGAAGACGUACAUGCUAGGAUACCUCCACUGCUCUUUGGACAUGCAAGUGCAGCAGGAAAGGCUCCAGGGCUUACUGAAAAGGCCUGGAAAGUGGGGAUUUCCCCCUGGGUUCUGAAGAGAACAGGAGCAAACUUGAGGUCAUUCAAGGGAACUACUUCUAAUCCACAACAUAACCCCGUCCCGUUCACCCGUCCGUCCUGGCUGCUACGUACGGCAUCAGCGCCCCCGACACACUGGUCACGCCGGUGUCAAUGCAGGAGGAGGGCACCGCAUGUUAACUCCUGCCCCAGAACAAGGCAUUAUUGUAGGGUCUAAAAGACCAGUGGCUAGUGUGUUCUCUGUGUUUGUAAACACCUCCUCGGCAAGGGGUUUUAGUACAAGUCGCAAUCCUGACUCGGGAGGAGUCGGUCAGAGCCACACAGCAUUCGACCCAACUGACUGGGAUUUGAACAGCUUGAAAUGAAAGGUGUUUCCCCCCUUGGGGAACGAUAUCACACAGAGGAGGAGGAGAUAAAGACAGUUAAACAGCCAGCCAGGGAGAUGCGUGACACCAGGAAAUAGCUAAAUAAAGCACACUGUUAUUUACUCUCCGGAGGGGGAGGAGGGAAAGCCCAGCAUCUUCCUACAGGUGCCACCGCACUGUUAAUACCUAGGCAUUAACGUGACAUGGACCUCUUUACGAGGCUCUGUUUUAUAAGGCUACUGUACGCUGACUGCUAACGACACUAAAACAGCCAGCGAUUCCCAGGCCUCACAGCCAGCUGGGCUGUUGCUUUGUACCAGCAAUACUCAGUGAUUGCCCUGGAAUGUUUUACGGACAAAAAGACACCCGUGGCAUGCCACGCGCGUGAAUGCCAGGCCCAGG